rnacentral:rRNA from 1 species
AGUGAACGCUGGCGGUAGGCCUAACACAUGCAAGUCGAACGGCAGCACAGUAAGAGCUUGCUCUUACGGGUGGCGAGUGGCGGACGGGUGAGGAAUACAUCGGAAUCUACUUUUUCGUGGGGGAUAACGUAGGGAAACUUACGCUAAUACCGCAUACGACCUACGGGUGAAAUCAGGGGAUCUUCGGACCUUGCGCGAUUGAAUGAGCCGAUGUCGGAUUAGCUAGUUGGCGGGGUAAAGGCCCACCAAGGCGACGAUCCGUAGCUGGUCUGAGAGGAUGAUCAGCUACACUGGAACUGAGACACGGUCCAGACUCCUACGGGAGGCAGCAGUGGGGAAUAUUGGACAAUGGGCGCAAGCCUGAUCCAGCCAUACCGCGUGGGUGAAGAAGGCCUUCGGGUUGUAAAGCCCUUUUGUUGGGAAAGAAAAGCAGCAGGUUAAUACCCCGCUGUUCUGACGGUACCCAAAGAAUAAGCACCGGCUAACUUCGUG